rnacentral:rRNA from 2 species
AGAGCGAAUGGUGGAUGCCUUGACUGGUAAAGGCGAUGAAGGACGUACUAGACUGCGAUAAGCUACGGGGAGCUGUCAAGAAGCUUUGAUCCGUAGAUUUCCGAAUGGGGCAACCCAAUGUAUAGAGAUAUACAUUACCUAUAUAGGAGCGAACGAGGGGAAUUGAAACAUCUUAGUACCCUCAGGAAAAGAAAUCAAUAGAGAUUGCGUCAGUAGCGGCGAGCGAAAGCGCAAGAGGGCAAACCCAGUGCUUGCACUGGGGGUUGUAGGACUGCAAUGUGCAAGAGGUAAGUUUAGCAGAACAUUCUGGAAAGUAUAACCAUAGAGGGUGAUAGUCCCGUAUGCGAAAAACAAACCUUAGCUAGCAGUAUCCUGAGUAGGGCGGGACACGAGGAAUCCUGUCUGAAUCCGGGUCGACCACGAUCCAACCCUAAAUACUAAUACCAGAUCGAUAGUGCACAAGUACCGUGAGGGAAAGGUGAAAAGAACUGAGGUGAUCAGAGUGAAAUAGAACCUGAAACCAUUUGCUUACAAUCAUUCAGAGCCCUAUGUAGCAAUACAGGGUGAUGGACUGCCUUUUGCAUAAUGAGCCUGCGAGUUGUGGUGUCUGGCAAGGUUAAGCAAACGCGAAGCCGUAGCGAAAGCGAGUCUGAAUAGGGCGCUUAGUCAGAUGCUGCAGACCCGAAACGAAGUGAUCUAUCCAUGAGCAAGUUGAAGCUAGUGUAAGAACUAGUGGAGGACUGAACCCAUAGGCGUUGAAAAGCCCCGGGAUGACUUGUGGAUAGGGGUGAAAGGCCAAUCAAACUUCGUGAUAGCUGGUUCUCUCCGAAAUAUAUUUAGGUAUAGCGUUGUGUCGUAAUAUAAGGGGGUAGAGCACUGAAUGGGCUAGGGCAUACACCAAUGUACCAAACCCUAUCAAACUCCGAAUACCUUAUAUGUAAUCACAGCAGUCAGGCGGCGAGUGAUAAAAUCCGUCGUCAAGAGGGAAACAACCCAGACUACCAGCUAAGGUCCCUAAAUCUUACUUAAGUGGAAAACGAUGUGAAGUUACUUAAACAACCAGGAGGUUGGCUUAGAAGCAGCCAUCCUUUAAAGAAAGCGUAAUAGCUCACUGGUCUAGUGAUUUUGCGCGGAAAAUAUAACGGGGCUAAAGUAAGUACCGAAGCUGUAGACUUGCACACAACUUAGAUUAUUUAAGUUUAGAAUAUGAGAAACUAAGUUAUAUGUUUAGUUAUAUUUUUACUGAUUUUUAUAGAGUAAAGAUAGAAAUAAAACUUAGUAAAAUCAGUAAAAAUAUUCUUAGACUAAAGUUAAGUAGUUUAAGUUGUGUGCAAGUGGUAGGAGAGCGUUCUAUUUGCGUCGAAGGUAUACCGGUAAGGAGUGCUGGAGCGAAUAGAAGUGAGCAUGCAGGCAUGAGUAGCGAUAAUUAAUGUGAGAAUCAUUAACGCCGUAAACCCAAGGUUUCCUACGCGAUGCUCGUCAUCGUAGGGUUAGUCGGGUCCUAAGUCGAGUCCGAAAGGGGUAGACGAUGGCAAAUUGGUUAAUAUUCCAAUACCAACAUUAGUGUGCGAUGGAAGGACGCUUAGGGCUAAGGGGGCUAGCGGAUGGAAGUGCUAGUCUAAGGUCGUAGGAGGUUGUACAGGCAAAUCCGUAUAACAAUACUCCGAGAACUGAAAGGCUUUUUGAAGUCUUCGGAUGGAUAGAAGAACCCCUGAUGCCGUCGAGCCAAGAAAAGUUUCUAAGUUUAGCUAAUGUUGCCCGUACCGUAAACCGACACAGGUGGGUGGGAUGAGUAUUCUAAGGCGCGUGGAAGAACUCUCUUUAAGGAACUCUGCAAAAUAGCACCGUAUCUUCGGUAUAAGGUGUGGUUAGCUUUGUAUUAGGAUUUACUCCGAAAGCAAGGAAACUUACAACAAAGAGUCCCUCCCGACUGUUUACCAAAAACACAGCACUCUGCUAACUCGUAAGAGGAUGUAUAGGGUGUGACGCCUGCCCGGUGCUCGAAGGUUAAUUGAUGGGGUUAGCAUUAGCGAAGCUCUUGAUCGAAGCCCGAGUAAACGGCGGCCGUAACUAUAACGGUCCUAAGGUAGCGAAAUUCCUUGUCGGUUAAAUACCGACCUGCAUGAAUGGCGUAACGAGAUGGGAGCUGUCUCAAAGAGGGAUCCAGUGAAAUUGUAGUGGAGGUGAAAAUUCCUCCUACCCGCGGCAAGACGGAAAGACCCCGUGGACCUUUACUACAGCUUGACACUGCUACUUGGAUAAGAAUGUGCAGGAUAGGUGGGAGGCUUUGAGUAUAUGACGCCAGUUGUAUAUGAGCCAUUGUUGAGAUACCACUCUUUCUUAUUUGGGUAGCUAACCAGCUUGAGUUAUCCUCAAGUGGGACAAUGUCUGGUGGGUAGUUUGACUGGGGCGGUCGCCUCCCAAAUAAUAACGGAGGCUUACAAAGGUUGGCUCAGAACGGUUGGAAAUCGUUCGUAGAGUAUAAAGGUAUAAGCCAGCUUAACUGCAAGACAUACAAGUCAAGCAGAGACGAAAGUCGGUCUUAGUGAUCCGGUGGUUCUGUGUGGAAGGGCCAUCGCUCAAAGGAUAAAAGGUACCCCGGGGAUAACAGGCUGAUCUCCCCCAAGAGCUCACAUCGACGGGGAGGUUUGGCACCUCGAUGUCGGCUCAUCGCAUCCUGGGGCUGGAGCAGGUCCCAAGGGUAUGGCUGUUCGCCAUUUAAAGCGGUACGCGAGCUGGGUUCAGAACGUCGUGAGACAGUUCGGUCCCUAUCUGCCGUGGGCGUAAGAAGAUUGAAGAGAUUUGACCCUAGUACGAGAGGACCGGGUUGAACAAACCACUGGUGUAGCUGUUGUUCUGCCAAGAGCAUCGCAGCGUAGCUAAGUUUGGAAAGGAUAAACGCUGAAAGCAUCUAAGCGUGAAGCCAACUCUAAGAUGAAUCUUCUCUAAGCUCUCUAGAAGACUACUAGUUUGAUAGGCUGGGUGUGUAAUGGAUGAAAGUCCUUUAGCUGACCAGUACUAAUAGAGCGUUUGGCUUAUCU